UACUUCUUGGCAGUGUGCCAUUGAUACUUCCUACUUGUGUAGAAGAGAAUUCCGAGCUAGCUGCAGAAUCCGAUGAAUCAUCUUCUGUGAAACCACUUUGCCUUCCAUUUGAAGCCCCCCUCAUCAACACUUCCCGCACAGCACCAGGUCUGCCAGCCAGGGUUUCCCUGGAAGAACUGACCUCGGAGUAUGUAUACUCACUCCCAUACCGGGACGCCCUUUGAGUGAGGUUCUCAUAUUUCCUAGCAGCACCGUUGGGGGCUCUAUGAUCUUGAGGUGACGAAUCCAAUGAAUAUCUGCUACCAUAAACUUCUUCCUCAGAACCAAUGCUGUCAUCAUUAUCAGAAUUCGAACAGCUAUCGCCAGUCUCAACCGUCGACACAGGAAUCGCAUUCGCAGGAAGAUGCCCACUUCUGAAUUUCGCUGGCGGCGGCAGCCCAAACCCUCUUCCAGUACCACUCUUCAUCGCACCAAUGGGAUCGUUGCGAGAUCUCAAUGUUGUGCUUGAGAAUGGAACAUCCUUCUACUCACAAACGAAAAACAACGAAAUCAAAAGCAGAAUUUCACAAAUACUAAUAUAAGAAUUGAACUUCCUUCUGAUCACCAUCAAAACUAAAAAAAACCCACAAAAUCAGAACUUCACAAAUGUGAAUCCAAACUUCUAAUCACCAACAGAAAAACAAAAAAAUCAAAACUUUACUACUAUUAAUGAAAAUCAAGAGAAGCCCAUUUGGAUAUACCAUAAAAAGAUCAAAAUUUGAGAAAUGGGAAUCAAAAUAAGGGGUGAAAGUUACCUCUCCAACCCAGCGAAGAGCGUUUUUGUCAAGGCCUUGUGUGAACAUCACUAACCCUACCACCAAAUCUGAAACAACCUGUCAAUGCAGAACAACCUACAAAAUGAGAAGGUGAUACAUAAAAAGGACAAAGCUUGUUCUCACACAGUGGAAGUGUUUUAGAAGAAAAAAUGUGACAUGUGAAUGGAAGUUGAGGGUUUUUGACUACACAGAGAAAAAGGGUUUUUCACAAUGAGAGAGUGGAAUCAGUUUAGGGAGAUGGAGAAGGGUAAUGGGGUGCGAGAUUUGAGGGAGAAAAAGAGGGUUUGCUUACUCAAAAAGCUUUCUUUGUUGUUGUAUAAUAACCCUCACUCUCUCUUUCUCUCUCUCUCUCUCUGAGACUGUGAAAAAAACCUUCUCUUCUUCUUCCUCUGCUGCUGCUAACAGUUGUCUCUUUCUUUCUUUGGUGGGGUAUAACGCGGUUCUUUCUUUAUUUCCAUAAAACCACCCAAUUAUGAUUUUAUUAAAUUAAAGCGUAAAUAAAAUUAAAAUACGGUGGAUCUUAUCUGGCGUGUGAGUUUUUGUCACGUUCCGCGUGAGGUUCAUAUGUGUGUUGACAGACUUGUCUCCUUAGGGUUGCGGCUUCAGGUCAAUUUUCGAAAAUGGUCCUUGCCCCUGUCGAGUUUUGUCAUUCACUUGGUUCGAUUAGGCGUUGUUCUGCUGAUCUGUUUAGUUUGCUUUUUUUUUUAUGGAUGACAUAUUGUACACGGCUGUUUACCGUUUUGUACAAGCAUUCACGAUUAAGGGAUUAGUCAGCUAGUCACGGCUGUCAGCGAUGGAUAACCGGGCUAAGAAAAACAAAUUAGAUAUUUUUUUUCCUUUUUGGUAAGAUUCUAUUUUGUAAUAAAUAAUAAAUAGAUACUAAAAAUGAAAGAGUCAUAAAAUUAUAAUCCUAACGCAGCUGUCAAAAUAUUUACUACUUGAUCCUGAAUUUAAUUAAUAAUAGUUUUCCAUUUUUAGUUAUAUUUUUCUAUUUAUUACUUAAUAUUAAUGAUAUUUGAUUGUGAUACGGCACCGUUUUUUAGCGCAGGGACAACUUAAGUAAUUAACAAAAAAGGGAAAAUUCACUGACUGGUCCGAAAAUAAAGCCCACGUAGUUUAGAAUAUACUGGACCAAAUGACCAGUAAACAAAGUGGGGGAUUUAAAUUUAUUUUAUUUGCUAUUUAAAUUGGCUUUUUUUUUAAUUAUUUAAUUGAAAAAGACAUUAGUUUGGAUCGAAAUUCGAACGUUGUAGUGGGGACACUUUAUGUUGUUUUGGUUUUUCCUAUAUUUCCCAGCUAGCACAUGAUGGUGGGUCACACUUUACCCUUUUUCUUUGGUCUUGUGUUAAAUAUUAUUGGCUAGAACUUGGUGAGGACGGUGACCGAACAUGAGUUUAAGCAAGUAAUGAUGAAAUUUAAUAUUAAUUAAUAAGUGUUUAUCAAAUGAACAUUUAUAGAGAUGUUGAAACUUAUUGGUUUCAAAACUUUAAUCUAAGGUUAGAGAAGUAAUAAGUUGGGAUUGAAUUGUUUAUCUCUUGAGAUUAAUUUCUAUGCACUGACAGUGUACAAAGCUCUACUUUUACACGGUAAAUACAUAGAAAUUAAUCUCUUAUAUUUUAUAUUUUAUCUUGAGCGUAAUGCGAUGACAGAUACUUUGGUUAAACAAACUUUCUAAAAGAAUAUUCUUCUUUAGAAAAAUUCCUCUUAAUGUGAUUUUCUUUAUCACGAUUAAAUUUUGUUAUUUCUGUCUUUUGUUUUUCAAGUUGUAAAAACAAAUUAACAUUUAUGCUAAAAGAACUUUUUGAAUAAAUUUAUUUAAGAAAAAAUGGGAUAACAUAAUUUAAAGUAGGGGAUGAUUUUGUUAGUUCAAAAAACACUUACAAUAUAUUUACAUUUAUCUCACUGCAAAGGAUAAAACUUAAAUCUGCAAGAUGUCAAAUACGAAAAACUCUGUCAUGCUCAACUCAACCAACUCUCUAUAUGUGUAUUUGAAAAAUUUUAUAAAUCCUACUCAAAUGCUUUAUGUCAUGAACUUGAGGUGAACUUUUUGAAAUGCUUCUUUUGUGAUAAUGGUACUGAAAGGAAGAUCAAUAUUGAGUAUGACAAUAGCUUUGGAGAAAUUUGCUGUCACAACCACGAGGAAUAUUGCUUCAUGUUGACGGCUAGGGAAGUGACUUUAGUUUGAAAUUUUUUGAAUGUCUUUUUUUUUUUGAGGUCAAUAUAACGAUAAAGUUUUGAUUUAAUGAUAUUUGACGUUUCUUAUUUCAAAUAUUGAAUCAUGAUACUAUCAUUUGUACAUAGGAAUCUCAUUGGGACAUAUGGUUGGUGCCUUCUGGACUCAACAGCUACAAAAUGAAUGGUUCACGAGCCCACCGAACCUCACAGCACAAGGUCUGCCAGCCAGGGUUUCCCUGGAAGAACUGACCUCGGAGUAUGUAUACUCACUCCCAUACCGGGACGCCCUUUGAGUGAGGUUCUCAUAUUUCCUAGCAGCACCGUUGGGGGCUCUAUGAUCUUGAGGUGACGAAUCCAAUGAAUAUCUGCUACCAUAAACUUCUUCCUCAGAACCAAUGCUGUCAUCAUUAUCAGAAUUCGAACAGCUAUCGCCAGUCUCAACCGUCGACACAGGAAUCGCAUUCGCAGGAAGAUGCCCACUUCUGAAUUUCGCUGGCGGCGGCAGCCCAAACCCUCUUCCAGUACCACUCUUCAUCGCACCAAUGGGAUCGUUGCGAGAUCUCAAUGUUGUGCUUGAGAAUGGAACAUCCUUCUACUCACAAACGAAAAACAACGAAAUCAAAAGCAGAAUUUCACAAAUACUAAUAUAAGAAUUGAACUUCCUUCUGAUCACCAUCAAAACUAAAAAAAACCCACAAAAUCAGAACUUCACAAAUGUGAAUCCAAACUUCUAAUCACCA
rnacentral:lncRNA from 1 species